CACUUUCUGGUUCUGUUGUGACCACCAUCUGGCUUUGCUCACACCACUAAAUGAAGUCACAAACGAAUCCAUUUGUGAGAUACAACAAUGGGAUGAUAGGAAAUACUUCCUCGCUUUUUCUUGGAGUGCAGUUAGAAGGAAAAUGAGUCUGCACUUUUACAAAUCUCACUUUGGACACGAAGAAGAAUCUGCGCAAGCAAGUCAAUCUUCUAUAAAUGUCUCUAAGAAGGUUGUGGUACAAACCAGUCAAUACCAGAGGCCCACUGCUAAGCUGGAAGGGUGGCUCAGAGUGAUGGCAGGUCUCAAGAAUUGACAUCUGAAGAAUGCCAGGCAGGAGAAGUCAAGAAAACACAACAAAGCAAUGGAAGUUACAGGAGCCUGGACCCUGCAUAGUUUCAGAAAGGAAAGUUUAUCAACUUCAAAAGGCUUACGCAAAUAAACAUCAGCUGGAGAAAAAAAAAACCAACCUUCACUACCCUGCCUUUUAAACAUCUCUAGUUACCAGAUAGAAGAUUCUCUAUCUUUAUUUUAAAAAUGGCAAAAUAAAAAUGGUAGAAUAAAUUUUCA